AUCCAGCUGACGAGUCCCAAAUACGACGAAAUGCGCACCCUGGAU
rnacentral:hammerhead_ribozyme from 1 species